rnacentral:pre_miRNA from 1 species
AGCUUUCUGAUUCCAUGCAGAGAUUUCACCAGACACCAAUCCAUUCGGGCUGAUCGAACUUCCAAGAUAAGUGAAGUU